rnacentral:rRNA from 1 species
CCUGGAACGGGACGCCAUAGAGGGUGAGAGCCCCGUCUGGUUGGAUACCGAGCCUCUGUAAAGCUCCUUCGACGAGUCGAGUAGUUUGGGAAUGCUGCUCUAAAUGGGAGGUAUAUGUCUUCUAAAGCUAAAUAUUGGCCAGAGACCGAUAGCGCACAAGUAGAGUGAUCGAAAGAUGAAAAGCACUUUGAAAAGAGGGUUAAAUAGUACGUGAAAUUGUUGAAAGGGAAGCGCUCAUGACCAGACUUGGGCCCGGUGAAUCAUCCAGCGUUCUCGCUGGUGCACUUUGCCGGGCUCAGGCCAGCAUCAGUUUGCUCCGGGGGAUAAAGGCUUUGGGAAUGUGGCUCCUCCGGGAGUGUUAUAGCCCUUUGCAUAAUACCCUGGGGCGGACUGAGGUUCGCGCAUCUGCAAGGAUGCUGGCGUAAUGGUCAUCAGCGACCCGUCUUGAAACACGGACCAAGGAGUCGUCUUCGUAUGCGAGUGUUCGGGUGUAAAACCCCUACGCGUAAUGAAAGUGAACGCAGGUGAGAGCUUCGGCGCAUCAUCGACCGAUCCUGAUGUUCUCGGAUGGAUUUGAGUAAGAGCAUA